rnacentral:rRNA from 1 species
AGUGAACGCUGGCGGCAUGCCUAACACAUGCAAGUCGAACGGCAGGACAGUAAGCUCUUGCCCUUACCGGUGGCGAGUGGCGGACGGGUGAGGAAUACAUCGGAAUCUUCUUUUUCUUGGGGGAUUACGUAGAACAACUGACACUAAUAGCGCAUAUGUCCUACGGGUGAAAGCAGUAGAUCUUCGCACUUUGCGCGUUACAAUUAGCCGGUGUCGGAUUAGCUAGUUGGCUGGGUAAAGGCCCACCAAGGCAACGAUCCGUAGCUGGUCUGAGAGGAUGAUCGGCCACACUGGAACUGAGACACGGUCCAGACUCCUACGGGAGGCAGCAGUAGGGAAUAUUGCGCAAUGGGCGAAAGCCUGACGGAGCAACACCGCGUGAGUGAUGAAGGUCUUCGGAUCGUAAAGCUCUUUUAUUAGGGAAGAAAAACAGCGGAAGAAACCAUCGACGUCUUGACGGUACCUAAUGAGUAAGCAACGGCUAACUACGUG